rnacentral:rRNA from 1 species
GACGAACGCUGGCGGCGUGCUUAACACAUGCAAGUCGAACGGAAAGGCCUGCUUUCCCUUGUGGAUUGCGGGUACUCGAGUGGCGAACGGGUGAGUAACACGUGAGUGAUCUGCCCCCAACUUGGGUAUAAGCCUGGGAAACUGGGUCUAAUUCCCGAUAGGACUGCAGGGUGGUGCCUGUGGUGGAAAACGAUUUUCUAGUGGUUGGGGAUGAGCUCGCGGCCUAUCAGCUUGUUGGUGGGGUAAUGGCCUACCAAGGCGGCGACGGGUAGCCGGACUGAGAGGGUGGACGGCGACAUUGGGACAGGGAUACGGCCCAGGCGCCUACGGGAGGCAGCAGUGGGGAAUAUUGCACAAUGGGCGGAAGCCUGAUGCAGCGACGCCGCGUGGGGGAUGACGGCCUUCGGGUUGUAAACUCCUGGCGACCGCGAGGAAGCCACCUGGUUGGAAGUGUGGUGACGGUAGUGGUAGAAGAAGCACCGGCUAACUACGUG